rnacentral:rRNA from 1 species
UACGUAGGGGGCGAGCGUUGUCCGGAAUUAUUGGGCGUAAAGGGCGUGUAGGCGGUUCGGUAAGUCUGCCGUGAAAACCUGGGGCUCAACCCCGGGCGUGCGGUGGAUACUGCCGGGCUAGAGGGUGGUAGAGGCGAGUGGAAUUCCGAGUGUAGCGGUGAAAUGCGCAGAUAUUCGGAGGAACACCAGUAGCGAAGGCGGCUCGCUGGGCCACAACUGACGCUGAGACGCGAAAGCGUGGGGAGCAAACAGG